rnacentral:lncRNA from 1 species
GGCUGUCCGAGUAAAUAUCAGGCAAAUCCUAUGAUAUGGGUGGCACAACAUAAUUUUUUUCCCACUGAAUUUUUGGUUCCAAUGCAAUGUUUAUGUCAUGCAAAGGAUAUAUAUGUCAAAGAUAUUUUUGAAUCAAUAGUGGAUGGCUCAGAAAAUGAUUUUAAAGUUCACUAACAAUGCAACAAAAUUUUGUACAAAAUGAAGAGUUAUCUCCCCUUUUCAAUGAAUUUUCAGUGCUUUCUAUGUAUUUUUUUUCUCUUUAUUUGUUGCAGAUAAUAAAAAAAACUAAAUUUAACUUCGAGAAAGAAUGAAUUUGUGAUAUGAAAUAGAUGAAAAAAAUUUGAAAACAAAAUAUGUCAUGUGCCAUCCACUGCCUGGUUUAUCCAUGGACACCCUCUU